rnacentral:lncRNA from 1 species
ACAGGACGAUUGGACAAGGUGGAAAAACCAAGUAUUGACAGAUGAACAGUACGAAAGUACAAUUUGAUAAAACCGAUUUCGAAAUAUUUUCGCAGAAGGUAGGUAUUAAAUAGCAGUGAAUGUGGAAGUAUUAUAGGAACAUGCCAUUGUAUAUAAAAGGAAAGAUUUGAGAAGAUAUUGAUUGGAUGGGAUGAUAGAUAAGGCCAAGAUAUAAAAA